UUGAAUUUGAAAGAUACUUUAUGCAACAGAAAAGCAAUUUUGUUCCUGGUUAUCAGAGGGCAAGAAGUGAACUAGCAAUUUAAUGCUAAAUAUUUUUAACCCCUGGGAAUCUGGUUUGCUUUGAGCCCAAUAAAGAUUAUAUUUUUUUCAAUCCAUCUCAGCUUAUUGUGUUUCAUAUAACAGAGGAGUAUUUUGUUACAAAUUUAGUCAAUUUAAAGUAAUUACCUUUUAUUCUUACUGGGUUUGGAUUUGAUGUUACAGUAUCUCAAAUUUCCAUUUUUAAAAGGGAAGAAGGAAGAUUUCUAUUCCUACCAGUGAAGACUCCUGAAGCGUGGGAUACUGUUUUGCUCUUACAAAGGUAAACUUGAUGAUGUAGUGAAACAGUAUUGCCUGGAAUUCCUGAAGAGAAGACCAGUCAUUAAAAUUUGAG
ensembl:lncRNA